GACGGAGGAUGCAAGCGUUAUCCGGAAUGAUUGGGCGUAAAGCGUCCGCAGGUGGCACCUCAAGUCUGCUGUCAAAGACCGGGGCUUAACCCCAGAAAGGCAGUGGAAACUGAAGUGCUAGAGUGCAGUAGGGGUAGAGGGAAUUCCCGGUGUAGCGGUGAAAUGCGUAGAGAUCGGGAAGAACAUCGGUGGCGAAAGCGCUCUGCUGGACUGCAACUGACACUCAGGGACGAAAGCUAGGGGAGCGAAUGGG
rnacentral:rRNA from 1 species